GACGAACGCUGGCGGCGUGCUUAACACAUGCAAGUCGAACGGAAAGGCCCCUUUGGGGGUCCUCGAGUGGUGAACGGGUGCGUAACACGUGCGUAACCUGCACUUGCCUUUGGGACAACUUUAGGAAACUGGGGCUAAUACCGGUUAGGAAUCAUUGCUGCAAGGGGGGGGUUGGAAAGUUACGGCGGUUUUGGAUGUACCCGCGGCAUAUCGGCUUGUUGGGGGGGUUGUGGCUUACCGAGGCGUCGUCGGGUAGCCGGCCUGCGGGGGCGACCGGCGACAUUGGGACUGAGGGACGGCCCAGACACCGACUGGAGGCAACAGGGGGGAAUAUUGCACAAGGGGCGGAAGCCUGAUGCAGCAACGCCGCGGGCGGGAUGACUGCCUUCGGGGUGUAAACCGCUUGCAGCAGGGGCGAAGCUUGUGGUGACGGUACCUGCAGAAGAAGCACCGGCUAACUACGUG
rnacentral:rRNA from 1 species